rnacentral:rRNA from 1 species
UACAGAGGUCUCAAGCGUUGUUCGGAUUCACUGGGCGUAAAGGGCGCGUAGGCGGCUAGAUAAGUCGGGGGUGAAAGCCUGUGGCUCAACCACAGAAUUGCCUUCGAUACUGUCUGGCUUGAGACCGGAAGAGGUUAGUGGAACUGCGAGUGUAGAGGUGAAAUUCGUAGAUAUUCGCAAGAACACCAGUGGCGAAGGCGGCUGACUGGUCCGGUUCUGACGCUGAGGCGCGAAAGCGUGGGGAGCAAACAGG